rnacentral:lncRNA from 10 species
UGAAGCUCGCAGAUGGCCUUGUGGACUUUAGCACUUCAGGUGAGGACACUGAGGCACAGAGAUUAUACCAGCUGGGCUAGCGAGUGACCGGGGGAAGCCUCCAGAUCCAUGCACACAACCGCCAGGUUUAUGACACCUCUAGAAAUGUGGCCAGUGCCCCUGGGGUCUAUCAGCAUCUCUUGCUAGACCAGCAGAGCCCUAAAAAAGGAGACAACAGUCUCCCAGCAAAAUGUUGCAAGCAGCACAGGCUCAGGAAUGGACAGACUGGCAGGCAAGGCACAGCAAGAAGGCAGCAGUCUGCACACCAGGAGGAGAGUCCUCACCACAACUCAGCCCUGCCACACCCUGAUCCUGGACUUUCAGCCUCCAGAGCUGUGAGAAAUAAAUGCCUGCUGUUUCAGCAG